GAGAGAGAGAGAGAGAUGGAGAGAGAGGCGUGAGAAAGAGAAAGACCGUCUUCAUAUUUGAGCGUUUUGGAACAGUACCGACGACUCAAGUACUGAUGAAUAGAACCGUGGCGAGUGUAUGUAGGUUAAAGCAGAGGAAACUCGAUAUGGCUUCAUCCGUGCAUAUGCUACCAGCUUACGAACAAUCGUUGUUCGGUCUCUCAUAUUAAAUAUAUGGCCUAUCUAGAAAUAGAUACAAUAGGCCAUAUUUUUAGUAGGUCUGACCUGGCACGAAAACGACGUGAUCAAGCUAGACACAUCACAUGUCGACGUACGAAAAGAGUUGUAUAUAUAAGUGAUACGAUUAGGUAGCAAGAGUAAGCAAAUCGGGUAGACAAAGCCAACAGCAUAGGCAGAAGACGCGAAUAGAUUGUGUUAUUAUCAGGCAGCUAAUCUUUUCACGUAUAAGGCGUACACAGUCUUAGGGGUACGCACUUCACAGGCGUACGGAGGGUAUAACAAAUUGCAUGUGAAACAAGUAAUUAAGUACAAGGUGAAUGAACCGAAAAGAAGAUCUACUUCAGGUAAUAUAGCAUCAGGCUAUCAGCUCACGAUUUUCCCGCCGUCAAAGCCAUGCUCCUCGGCAACACCCAGCGGUCGCGUCACGCAAUCUCGUCGCGCAUGCGCACGACGGCGGCGCCACGCGUAACGGAGCACCGGACACGCGGAAAUGCCUGCGACGUGGUGACCCGCUAAGCUUGUAUAACACAAGGUGGCUACUGUGAGAGCGACGUCGUGGCUGUGCUGUGGAACGCCCAGGUGUGCGGAAGGCGUCGUCUGCUAUAGAUAUGCAAAUACGCGGUGGCCAACCAAUGGCGCGGGAAAAUUACGUAUGCCGAACGCGCAAUGUUGCGCCUAAGUCUAGCUGUCUAGGGAAAAAUAUGAUGGUGCCGCGCAACGAGUGGUGCCAACGAACUUUUAAUGUAUUCAUACCGUGCGACUAUGCUGCCAUAGACAGAUUGCUCCGUGAUCAAUUACCAAGCAGAUAUUAGGUGCAUUUACGGGAAAAAUUCUAUUUGUAACCAAGCGUGCAAACGCUAUAUAGGGUCAUUCGACAAUAUACUUCACAGGAUACACUUCGUGGAUAUUACCUAUUUGUGUGUAAUACAUCCUGUGUGGAAAUAAAUUCAUAGAAAUUCGUAAAA